AACGUAGGACACGAGCGUUAUCCGGAGUUACUGGGCGUAAAGCGCACGCAGGUGGCUGAGUCAGUCGAUUGUGAAAGCCCUGGGCUUAACCUGGGAAUUGCAGUCGAUACUACUCAGCUAGAGUAUGGGAGAGGGUAGUGGAAUUCCCGGUGUAGCGGUGAAAUGCGUAGAUAUCGGGAGGAACAUCAGUGGCGAAGGCGGCUACCUGGCCCAAUACUGACACUCAGGUGCGACAGCGUGGGGAGCAAACAGG
rnacentral:rRNA from 1 species